rnacentral:rRNA from 1 species
UUUCGCAAUGCCCGAAAGGGUGACGAAGCGACGCCGCGUGAGUGAGGAAGGCCUUCGGGUUGUAAAGCUCUGUCAGGGAUUAAGAAAUAUAAGUGUGCUAAUAUCACAUUUAUUUGACGAAGGUCCCAAAGGAAGCCACGGCUAACUCUGUGCCAGCAGCCGCGGUAAUACGGAGGUGGCAAGCGUUGUUCGGAAUUAUUGGGCGUAAAGAGCACGUAGGUGGGUUUGUAAGUCAGAUGUGAAAGCCUUCUGUUCAACGGAAGAAUUGCAUCUGAAACUACAAGUCUUGAGUGUAGGAGGGGAGAAUGGAACUUCUGGUGGAGCGGUGAAAUGCGUAGAUAUCAGAAGGAACGCCGGCGGCGAAAGCGAUUCUCUGGCCUAUUACUGACACUCAGUGUGCGAAAGCUAGGGGAGCAAACGGGAUUAGAUACCCCGGUAGUCCUAGCCGUAAACGAUGGGCACUAAGUAGAGGGGUUUU